rnacentral:tRNA from 1 species
GUCGGUCUGGCCGAGCGGUCAAAGCGCUGCGUUCAGGUCGCAUUCUACUUCGGUAGGCGCAGGUUCGAAUCCUGCGUCGGACA